GACGAACUGCCGUUGACAAAACGGAAGGAAAGGUGGGGAGUGACGUCAAAUCAUCAUGCCCCUUAUGUUCUGGCUACACACGUGCUACAAUGGCCGGUACAGACGGACGCAAAGCCGCGAGGUGGAGCAAAUCCUAAAAAGCCGGUCUCAGUUCGGAUUGCAGGCUGCAAUUCGCCUGCAUGAAGUCGGAAUCGCUAGUAAUCGCAGGUCAGCAUACUGCGGUGAAUACGUUCCCGGGCCUU
rnacentral:rRNA from 1 species